UUUAUGGAGAGUUUGAUCCUGGCUCAGGAUGAACGCUGGCGGCGUGCCUAAUACAUGCAAGUCGAGCGAACGGACGAGAAGCUUGCUUCUCUGAUGUUAGCGGCGGACGGGUGAGUAACACGUGGAUAACCUACCUAUAAGACUGGGAUAACUUCGGGAA
rnacentral:rRNA from 1 species